AGCUGUUACAGCUCUAGAAUUUUUUCUAACAAGUUUUCUGACUUUGGUUAGAAAACCCAA
rnacentral:snRNA from 1 species